UAAGUUUGUUCUUGGUAUAAGCUUUUGUGUGUGCAUGUACACGAAAGCUUAUACCAAGAGCAAACUUA